UACGUAGGGUGCGAGCGUUGUCCGGAUUUAUUGGGCGUAAAGAGCUCGUAGGCGGUUUGUCGCGUCGGCCGUGAAAUCUCCACGCUUAACGUGGAGCGUGCGGUCGAAUACGGGCAGACUUGAGUUCGGUAGGGGAGACUGGAAUUCCUGGUGUAGCGGUGAAAUGCGCAGAUAUCAGGGAGGAACACCGGUGGCGAAGGCGGGGUCUCUGGGC
rnacentral:rRNA from 1 species